rnacentral:lncRNA from 1 species
UUUAACCAUUGUUAGUUAAUCACACAAUAGAACUUAUAAACAAGUGCCAAAAUCAAAACAAACAAAGCUUGGUGACCAAUUGAAAUAAUCACAGGUACAGGAACAGGUGGAGGAUUAUACAUAAACGCCAUUGAAACACAAUCAUCUCCUUCACCUGGCCUUCCCAUCACAUGCUUAUAUCUCCCUUCACUCCAUCUCUGCAACCGAUCACCAAUGGUGAUCACCAACGCGCCUUUCUCAGGACAAAACGACACCAAACCUUUCUUCGAGUAGACAUGAAACUCGGAUCCACUGCAUAUGUGAACACAUAGCGUGUGGGAAUGUUGGGAUCCUCUUAUCAGCAUCCGAAUCAUGUCGUAUUUUAAAGAAAGUAGCAAAUGGAUUCGGCAGUUUGUUUGUCGCUUGCUUUAGCAUCGUGAAGUACUGAUAUUGUUCCUUGGGUGUUGUUGAGUAGAAACUUCAGGAUGAUUUUGCAUAUCUUCUCGAUUUCGGACGUAAGAAUCUCGACGUUUUCACUGUACGUUUAAGAGUUUAAUUCGUGCAAAUGUUCAGGGUCUCAAUUCGUGUUAUGAAUUUGAAAUUAUGAAUGAUAUGAUAAUUACUCUAUUCAUGUUAUCAUUUUCGCUGUAAGUUAAAUUCGUGCAAAUGUUGAAUGUCUCAAUUCCGAAUUUGAAAUUAUAAAUGAUAGAAUGAUUUUUUUUCUUUUU